GUGGAUUAGAUACCCUGGUAGUCCACGCCCUAAACGAUGAAUGCUAGGUGUGGGGGAGUUAUCCUCCGUGCCGGAGCUAACGCAAUAAGCAUUCCACCUGGGGAGUACGGCCGCAAGGUUGAAACUCAAAGGAAUUGACGGGAGCCCGCACAAGCAGUGGAGUAUGUGGUUUAAUUCGACGCAACGCGAAAAACCUUACCAAGGAUUGACAUCCAAGGAAUCGGAAGUAAUGUUCCGAGUGCCCCUUCGGGGGAAUCUUGAGACAGGUGGUGCAUGGCCGUCGUCAGCU
rnacentral:rRNA from 1 species